AUUGAACGCUGGCGGCAGGCCUAACACAUGCAGGUCGAGCGGAUGAAGGGAGCUUGCUCCUGGAUUCAGCGGCGGACGGGUGAGUAAUGCCUAGGAAUCUGCCUGGUAGUGGGGGAUAACGUCCGGAAACGGGCGCUAAUACCGCAUACGUCCUGAGGGAGAAAGUGGGGGAUCUUCGGACCUCACGCUAUCAGAUGAGCCUAGGUCGGAUUAGCUAGUUGGUGGGGUAAAGGCCUACCAAGGCGACGAUCCGUAACUGGUCUGAGAGGAUGAUCAGUCACACUGGAACUGAGACACGGUCCAGACUCCUACGGGAGGCAGCAGUGGGGAAUAUUGGACAAUGGGCGAAAGCCUGAUCCAGCCAUGCCGCGUGUGUGAAGAAGGUCUUCGGAUUGUAAAGCACUUUAAGUUGGGAGGAAGGGCAGUAAGUUAAUACCUUGCUGUUUUGACGUUACCAACAGGAUAAGCACCGGCUAACUUCGUG
rnacentral:rRNA from 1 species